rnacentral:tRNA from 1 species
UCCCUGGUGGCUCAGUGAUAAAGAAUCUGCCUGCAAUGCAGGAGACCCGGGUUCAGUUCCUGGGUUGGGAA